GGCUACUUUCUGUUUGUUUCCUUUAACAGGAAGGUGUAUAUCCCUUUUCUCCCAUGCCUCAUUUGUUUUCCAUCCUCAGGAAGAAGGAAUUUAAAAAGCUGGAGACUUGAAAGCAUUUUGCUAAAAUAUAUUUACGUGACAGAUUCCUCUGGAGAGAUUCAUCUCUGGUUYGUGGUAGCUAUUUCUGUUUGAUUACGUAUGGCAGGUUCUCUACUGCAGUGGUGGUUUCCAUUGAGCUAUAUUAAGAUAGCCAAAGUUGCUUUACUCUUUCAGCAAGAAUAUUUCAUUACAAUAUCAAUCCUGAACUGAUUUUUGUUUUAAUUCUGAAGUUGGAUGCUCUUGAGAUGGCCUGUAAGAACUUUUACAAGAUUCUAAAAGUGAAACUGGCAAAAUUGUUUGAGACAAAGUAAGGAAAUACAAAGAACAGACAUAAAAAGAACAAAAAGAAAAUGAAGUACUUAUUCUGAAAGGUUUUCAGAGUUAAAACUUUAAACUAUUGAAUAUUGUGAUAACAGCACAUGUAUCUUCAUGUGAUAGUGCAGAGGAUUUACAUUUGCAGAAGCAUAUGCAAAAUCAACAGUACUUUGCACAUAAGAAAAUAAGAGAUUCAGUAUUAUUAUUAGUUUCAGGCUUAAUAUUGUUUUAAAACUGAAUCCUCUGGAAGUCAGCUCU
rnacentral:lncRNA from 1 species